AAAUGAUAUUCUUUUUUCUUUAUAACGCGUACGUUACAGCCCCAAGGCUAUCAACAUCUGUAUAAGAUAACUCCAGCGAAACAAAAGAGUAAUAAAAACCCCAAAAUUCCAGAAUUGUCUACAAUACCCCUACAUCUAUUCAGCCCAGAAACAAACGACAAGUCUCUCUCACCGUAUCUUCGUCUAAUUCUCUUUCUUAAUCUCUCGGGAAAAAAAAAUAGAUCUACGAAAUUCAUUUCCCUUCCGAUUCUAUUUUCUUCUACUGGAACCUCUCUUUUUUCUCUAAAUAUGGAUUGUUAGAAACUAGAAAUUAUUGAUCGAGACAAGUUAUGCCCUAAAUUCAAAAAAGUAAAACAAAAAUCACAAAAACUGGUUAAAAUGGUGAAGAAGAAUGCUCAACAAGAGAGAAACAAAGAUGAACAACUCAAGAAGACGAUUAAAAAUCCUCCAAAAGGGAAAAAAAGAGAAACAGAGCAAUAUAGCAUCAUUUGUGCACGGAAGCAUCUGCAAUAAAGGCUUUGAUACAAAAAGGAGAACAAUACUCGCAUGUCAUGCCUAAAAAAGUACUUUUAUUUUGGCAAAUUCAGUUUUUGUUGAAGUUUAAACUACUUGUAAAAUGGUUAUCGACUAAUUGUAAUGGUGACAAAUUACAGUUUCUAUAAAAAAAGAUUUAAUUGAUUUCA